AGGGACAGAAAGGGCAAGAUGCUGUGUGAGGGACCGACAGGGUUUGGUGGCCGUGCUGGGGACAAGAAGGAGAGAGCCAGAGCUGCAGAAGGAAGAGAGAAAGUGCCGGAGAUGCAUGGGGCUGCCCGUGAGAGGCUCCACAGAAAAGUGUGAGAUCAAGAUAAGAAGUUUGAUGAACUGCUGAUGAACAGUUGAUGGAGCAAAGUGUUUCAGACCACAUUGAGGACAGACUGAUGUGUUCAUCUAACUGAAAAAUGCGUACAGGAGAGGCUGGACCGGAAUCUGUGAGAAUUCUCCUGCUGACCUGGCUGGAUUAGCUCUUAGAGCCAGCCUAUAGAGUCAGAUAUUCAUGUAUGCAUGAGUCUUUUUUCUCCUUGUUUUCUUUCCUCUCACUCUGCCAGUAUGUUUUAAUAAAACCCUCAUAUGCCAGCUUUUGAAUAGAUGAGCCUAUCUUUAUUUCUUCUUUAUUUUUCCUUUUUAUCUGUUUG